CCAUGAUGCUUUUCAAGUACUGUCAGCAAGGAAAAUACCUUCGAUUCCAUAAGUGUUCACUGGGUGCCUGCUACAUAGAAAGCACAAUGUUGAAACAUGCAGGGGCCAGGGGCUCACAGUAGAAGGAGACAGAAAACACAACCGUGUAAGAAAAAUGCCAGCUGACACACGUCUGUCCCUCACAUGAUCUGGAGGGUUUCUCCAUUUCCAGGAAUUUAUUCUGCAAUAUGCAUUGAGUCUGACCUCUUCCUGAGCUGAAACGUCUUGUGUGGGACCUAGGAAUCCGGAUUUUUAAUCCUGGGUGAUCUUCAUGCAACCGGUGCAGCACCACCACCCAGGAAGUGAUGGUCAAGGAAAAUGGUGUUGUUUUCAUAGUGAAGUCGCAGUCAUAAAUCUCCUGGGAUUAAGACUCUCGAAGCAAUCCAGCAUGCUCAUAUCAUCAGGAGGACUCCUCCAGGGUCACCCACUGGGACAGAGACAGAGAAGGAAAGAUUGAGAGAGAAAUUCCUUUUAGAAAAUGCAAAUGCUGGAGGAAGACAGCAUAUUCACCAGCCUCUGCUCGAUGUUGACUAGUCUGCUGGAAUCACAUAAGGCAGGUCCAAAUCUAAUUUUGCAUCUAAACAGCAAGACACACCUCUCAGAUUUCUUUUUUUUUUUAACUCGCCUUAUGAUCCCCAUCCUGGUGCUUUCUCCCCCUCUGCUCCAUUUGUUCAUUUUUAACCUAGACUCCACAGUAAUGGGGGAGACAGAGCGCUGGGCCGGAACGAGAGAGAACCAGGCUCAAAUCCGUCCUUGGCUGCUUUCUGGCCACGUGACCUGCGAGGGCUCUCAGCCUGUUACCACAGCUGGAACUGAGAAAAUAAUAACUUCACAGGGUUAUUGGGGGAACCAAAUGGCAGAACAUAUAUAAAAACGUCUGGCACCGAGGCCCUUAAUACCGUCCAUCAGUCUCCACACCCCUGAUGAAAUGUUCUUCUGAAAAGGGUUCACUCCAGGGGUUCCGCUCCCUCAGGAUGGGAUAGCUGAUUUGUGGACCAGUUGGCUGCGAUGGCCAGCUAGUAAGGUCCAAGGUUGGGUGGAAGCCACUCAGCUCCACUGCAGUAUUGACUGCCAUCUACCUCCCCAUGGAACGCAUGCUAGACGGUUCCACAGAAGUAAAAGGACUCAUUUACUCUCCUCUUUUCACUUUUCCUCUAUUUAGAGGGCCUGACAUUGUCCAAAGGGAAUCAAAAUAGAUAAACUUGCUUACAUAACUGA